rnacentral:rRNA from 1 species
GACGAACGCUGGCGGCGUGCUUAACACAUGCAAGUCGAACGGAAAGGCCCUGCUUUUGUGGGGUGCUCGAGUGGCGAACGGGUGAGUAACACGUGAGUAACCUGCCCUUGACUUUGGGAUAACUUCAGGAAACUGGGGCUAAUACCGGAUAGGAGCUCCUGCUGCAUGGUGGGGGUUGGAAAGUUUCGGCGGUUGGGGAUGGACUCGCGGCUUAUCAGCUUGUUGGUGGGGUAGUGGCUUACCAAGGCUUUGACGGGUAGCCGGCCUGAGAGGGUGACCGGACACGUGGGGGGGUGGAUCAGCCCGGGACUCAGGGGGGAGGAGGAGGGGGGGAAUUGGGAAAAAGGGGGGGAGGCAGGAAGCAGCACGGCCGGGGGGGGGAUGGGGGCCUUGGGUUGGGAAACCGUUUCCGCCGGGGAGGAAGGGGGAGAGGGGGGAGGGGAAAAAGAGGCCCCGGCUAAAUCGGUC